rnacentral:rRNA from 1 species
CGUGCUCGAAGAGAGCCGUAACACAGGUGCUGCAUGGCUGUCGUCAGCUCGUGUCGUGAGAUGUUGGUUAAGUCCCGCAACGAGCGCAACCCUUGUCAUUAGUUGCUACGAAAGGGCACUCUAAUGAGACUGCCGGUGGACAAACCGGAGGAAGGUGGGGAUGACGUCAAGUCCUCAUGGCCCUUACAUCCCGGGCUACACACGUGCUACAAUGGCAGGUACAGAGGGCUGCAAAGCCGCGAGGUAGAGCGAAUCCCAGAAAACCUGUCUCAGUCCGGAUUGAAGUCUGCAACUCGACUUCAUGAAGGCGGAAUCGCUAGUAACCGCGAAUCAGCAGGUCGCGGUGAAUACGUUCCCGGGCCUU